AUGGCACCAUACAUACUGGCAGUGUUUGGAUUCAGAGGAGCACUAAAACUCCACAACAAAUACUAUGGGCCAUUCUUGGUUAUCCAGAAAAUUGGCAACAGUGCUUACAAGUUGCAAUUUCCAACUCAUGUGCAAAUGCAUCCAGUUUUCCAUGUAAGUCAGUUAAAAAAGCACUUGGGUCAAAAGUCCAUCCCUAGCUCACACCUCCCAAUGGUGAAUGAAGACGGCACCAUUAAAACAGAACCAGCUCAAGUCUUGGAAGUCAGGCAAGUUCCUCGCAAAACAUGCCGAUGGUACAAUGGCUUAUUCAAUGGGAAAAUCUGA
rnacentral:rRNA from 1 species